rnacentral:misc_RNA from 1 species
UCCGGUUUGUCACCGGCAGUCUCCCAUGAGUCCCCAACUGAAUGCUGGCAACUAGGGACAAGGGUUGCGCUCGUUGCGGGACUUAACCCAACAUCUCACGACACGAGCUGACGACAGCCAUGCAGCACCUGUCUCACGGUUCCCGAAGGCACUCCCUCAUCUCUGAAGGAUUCCGUGGAUGUCAAGGCCAGGUAAGGUUCUGCGCGUUGCAUCGAAUUAAGCCACAUGCUCCGCCGCUUGUGCGGGCCCCCGUCAAUUCCUUUGAGUUUCAGCCUUGCGGCCGUACUCCCCAGGCGGGGCACUUAAUGCGUUAGCUGCGGCACCGAAGGGGUCGCUCCCCCCGGCACCUAGUGCCCAUCGUUUACGGCGUGGACUAC